UUGGCGGUGAACUCCCAGAUGCUUUGAUCUUGGAUGAGCGCCUGGUCGCCGAAAUAGUCGCCGUCGACCAUCGUGCCGAGCACGGUUUGGUCACCGUACUCACCGGUGCCGAUCUUGUUCACCUUGCCGUGCGCGACCACGUAGACGUAGUCGGCCUCGUGACCGAAUUCGGCGAUCACGGCGCCGGGCUCGUACUCCUGCUGCUCGAACCGGCCUGCCAAGGCGUUGAGCGCGUCCUCGUCCUCGAAAGUGCGCAGCAGAGCCAUUUCCACCAGGUCCGGGCCGACAACCUGGACCCUGGACCCGGUGUUGGAGACGGCGAUCCGGCCGUCACCGACGGUGUAGCUCAGCCUUCGGUUGACCCGGUACACGCCACCUUGGGCCUGCACCCACGGCAGGACCCGCAGCAGCCAGCGCGAGGUGAUGCUCUGCAUCUGCGGGACGGAUUUGGUGGUCGUCGCCAAAUUCCGCGCGGCCGCGGUGGCCAGGCUCUGCUGUUGCUGGCCGU
rnacentral:antisense_RNA from 1 species